rnacentral:lncRNA from 1 species
AUGCUUAUAAAUAUAGACACACAAGGGAGACAGAGGGGACUUCUGGGAGGAGCCCCACAAAGAAGUACAGAAGUCAUUAUUUCUGGGAGGGGGGAUUAUUGGAAAUUGGUGGGAAGAUUUGCUUCUUAUAGUGACACCCGUCAUUUUCAUCAGUUCAUCCUCUUCUCUUUCUUCUGGAACAGAACUCCUCCUUCCUCUGGUAAACUGUUUCUUAUAUUUCAAGUCAUAUAUGCCUUGAUUCCACCUUCCCUGGCCAUUGGCUCACUAAUCUGACCAAUCAGAGCCCAUCAUUCGUAGCCACAGGGAUUGGCUCAAGAACGCACAUGUGAUACACACCCAACCAAUCAAGUUCCUCUCUGAGACUUUUUGACCUGAGCUCUGAGAAAAGUAAUAGAUUUCUUUCUAGUAGAUUGUUCAAUUGAUAGGAAUUAAUGUGGGAUUAAUAAGGUCCACCUUUCUCACAUCUGGGGAAAGCUUAUUAGAGAAAUGGAGAGAGAGAAAGAGAGAGCGCAAGGUGGUAUCCCAUCAGCUUUUGAGCUUUGGACAUGCCUGAUUCAUGUCUAGAACAUCCUGAUGUCUGAUUCUUACAGCUGAACAAGUCCUGACUGCUAUGCUUCUAUUUUGUUCCCCUACAUUUUCUGUUUUCUGUAAUGAGCAUGUAGAACAUGUUUCAGAUUCAAGAAAAGAAAGGAGGAGAGGAAACACAGAUCACAUUUGUUUGCAGAAGCUGGCUCUUGGACACUCUUGCUAAGGCAUAGAUUGAGCCUGCCUGAUUUAGGGAAAGUCAUGGUUUGCCUCAGGCUCCAUGAUUCCACUGGUCCCUCUGAGGUCUCCUGGCCUGACUCACUGCUUCCAGACUAAAGACUUUACUCCCCUAAAUCAAGGGAGAGGGAAGUCGCUCAGUCGUGUCCGACUCUUAGCGACCUCAUGGACUGCAUCCUACCAGGCUCCUCCGUCCAUGGAAUUUUCCAGGCAAGAGUACUGGAGUGGGAUGCCAUUGCCUUCUCCGCAUAUAGUAUGUUGCUGCUGCUGCUAAGUCACCUCAGUCGUGUCCGACUGUGUGUGACCCCAGAGACGGCAGCCCACCAGGCUCCCCCGUCCCUAGGAUUCUCUAGGCAAGAACACUGGAGUGGGUUGCCAUUUCCUUCUCCAAUGCAUGAAAGUGAAAAGUCAAAGUGAAGUCACUCAGUCGUGUCUGACUCUUAGCGACCCCAUGAACUGCAGCCCACCAGGCUCCUCCAUCCAUGGGAUUUUCCAGGCAAGAGUACUGGAGUGGGGUGCCAUUGCCUUCUCCGCCCCUAAAUCAAGAGCACUGCCAAAUCCACCUUUCCCAGCACCCCCCAUUGGUCCCUGUUUUAAAGUGAUAAUUAGUAUAAAGUUGGGUAUCUUUUUCCCCCUGGGAGAGAAAAUUCUUUAACAGCAUGAAGUGGAGCAGAGUGUGGGUGGAUUUAACAAGGAGGUAAGGAAGCUUAUGUAAGUGGCAUUAUUAUAUAUGAUUAUAUCACUGGGGUAAGAGAAACUCGUUCCUACUUGGGUGUUACACCAAUCAUUAAGUUUUAGGCUUAUGUGAAAUAAAGGGAUGAAGAAAAGCCA